CGGGGGACAAAGUGACAGGUGGUGCAUGGUUGUCGUCAGCUCGUGUCGUGAGAUGUUGGGUUAAGUCCCGCAACGAGCGCAACCCUUAAGCUUAGUUGCCAUCAUUAAGUUGGGCACUCUAAGAUGACUGCCGGUGACAAACCGGAGGAAGGUGGGGAUGACGUCAAAUCAUCAUGCCCCUUAUGAUUUGGGCUACACACGUGCUACAAUGGACAAUACAAAGGGCAGCGAAACCGCGAGGUCAAGCAAAUCCCAUAAAGUUGUUCUCAGUUCGGAUUGUAGUCUGCAACUCGACUACAUGAAGCUGGAAUCGCUAGUAAUCGUAGAUCAGCAUGCUACGGUGAAUACGUUCCCGGGUCUUGUACACACCGCCCGUCACACCACGAGAGUUUGUAACACCCGAAGCCGGUGGAGUAACCUUUUAGGAGCUAGCCGUCGAAGGUGGGACAAAUGAUUGGGGUGAAGUCGUAACAAGGUAGCCGUAUCGGAAGGUGCGGCUGGAUCACCUCCUUUCUAAGGA
rnacentral:rRNA from 1 species